AUUUGAUUGUAGUAUUUGUUGCUGUAGGAUUAUAAAUGUCAAAUAUCAUUGUAAACAUUUCUAUAUUUUUAGAAAUAUCUUGGGUGGCCUGAAACAGAAGUGAGGAAAUCAAUUUUUUAAGCUCUUGAAGUCAAAAUGGGAUUCCAAAGAGCAAAAUAGAAGUUUGAAGAGUUUGAAAUCUCUCCUCGUGGCUGGACGCCGUGGCUCACACCUGUGAUCCCAGCACUUUGGGAGGCCAAGGCAGGCAUACUGCUUGAACUCAGGAGUUCAAGACCAGCCUGGGGAACAUGGGUCUCACUCUGUCACCCAAACUGGAGUGCAGUGGUGUGAUCUCGGCUCACUGCAACCUCCACCUCCC